UCCCCGGUGGCUGAGCAGGGUUAAGGAUCCAGCACUGUCACUGCUGUGGCUCAGGUUGCUGCUGUGGCGCAGGUUCAAUCCCUGACCGGGGAA
rnacentral:tRNA from 1 species